rnacentral:lncRNA from 1 species
ACAACAUCUACAGACAUAUAAACAUUCAAUAUUAGGUUCAUAUAAAAUUAAAAAAAUCACUUAUAAAGAUUCCAUUAUAUAAAACAGUCAAUAGGUCCUUUUGUUUUAUAUUUUAGCUUUGUAUAACUGGGUAAAGUAUUUGUUUUUUUUUUCAAUGGUUUUAAUUUUUUUUUUGUAUAUGUUGCCGGUUAGGUAUGUUUUUGUUUAUGUCAAAAUGAGGUUCGAAUUGUAAACAAUUGAAAUUUUCAAAAAUUAUAAAAAUUUUCACAGAAAGUCAUGUGUCUUUUUAAUUUCAAUUUCGGACAAACUAAGUAGUACAGCAGAAUCCUUGAGCAAUCGGCAACAAAAUAUUGAAAUUAAUUCUAAAAACUCAGAGCGAUCUAGCUAUCAUAAAUAAGAGAGGCUGAUCAAGAAUUAUUUCAACCAGAAUGGACCAAAUCUAUCGCUCUAUUGCUACUCCUAAGGGAAUUCAAAAGCGUAAAUGUGAAAACCAUAUUCUCCACGUAGUUCUGUAUAUUUUUACAUCACCUACCAAAGCAAUAAAGUGUCGGAAAAUAUCCUUCCAUUUUUCGGUGCCUGUCUCCCCAGUAAUCUAAUUUCUAGGAACUUAACACAGCGAUAAAAGAAUAUAAGUACAGAACCAUAGACAAAUAAAUUAAGCCACUGGAAAUGUUCCGCGUAUAAGAUGAACACGGAAAGGCAACCUCUUACUGGAGCGUAAAGCGGUGAAGAUGGAGGAAGACCUAGGACAGAAAAUCGAAGAGUCACUACGUGAUGCAGUGACCAUCACAAUGGACAAGGAUUCGAUAGCGGUCGAUGAAGGCCUGGACGAGAUCACUACGAAAUCCGAGAUCUGUGAUGCCUGACAGUCUCAAUUAGGGCUACAAAUUGGUAAACGAAGAAAAGCAGCGAAAGUACGUGUUAGACGAGUGGUCUGCAAGCUAAGUGCUCGGAGUUUGGCCCCACUGUAAAAGUUUGUGCUAGGUCGCAUAUGUAAUCUGUUUGGCAAAUGUGAAGAACAAAGCCGUUUUGCCAAUAACUGGAAUGGAACCCCCAAAUGUGUGUUCUAUGGGUAAACUAAUAAUAGGGACAGUGCUCACAUUGUAGGAAGCAGCAAAUGCCUAUUGUUCAGAAAACUGUUCAUAACUAUGAAAUAAAUGAAAUUUAUGUAACUAAAUCUAAAUCACUGUCAUGCGGCCUAAACCUUGCUUUACCAGAACACGUUCAAAAACAAUGUCAAGCUAGCUUGUGUGAACAGACAAAAACAGUCUAGCAUCCAGACCAUAAAUUUUCGCGUACCAAAAUAGGGAGCGUCUAUGUAGCGAAAACUUCAAGUGGAUGUGUAUCGAAGUCGACUUUGGUCCAUAAGGUGGCGAAUACAGGUCAGUGAUGUUAUCAGUAACAAGUAAAGGCUGUCCACCGAUUACUUGUCCUUAGCAACAAAAUGGUCUACAAUAAAAUGUAGGUAAAUUAAAAAAUAUAUGACGCCGCGGAAGAAAACUACUUCACUUUUAGAGGUGAGUAUUUUAAACAGUUAAAAGGAGCCCUGAUAGGAAACCUCCCCUCCCCCAUCGUCACUGAACGGCUGAUAUGGGUGAUAUCUGCGCUAUCAUAGGAAAAAAUGAAAUCGAAAAAACGCUCGAAUAUA